UGGAUCUGGGAUGUCACACUGCUUAUGGA
rnacentral:piRNA from 1 species